rnacentral:rRNA from 1 species
AGUAACACGUAGGUAACCUGCCCAUGUGCCCGGGAUAACUUCUGGAAACGGAUGCUAAAACCGGAUAGGUAGCAGACAAGCAUUUGACUGCUAUUAAAGUGGCUAAGGCCAUGAACAUGGAUGGACCUGCGGUGCAUUAGCUAGUUGGUGAGGUAACGGCCCACCAAGGCGACGAUGCAUAGCCGGCCUGAGAGGGUGACCGGCCACAUUGGGACUGAGACACGGCCCAAACUCCUACGGGAGGCAGCAUG